UACGUAGGGGGCGAGCGUUGUCCGGAUUUAUUGGGCGUAAAGAGCGUGUAGGCGGUUCGGUAAGUCUGUCGUGAAAUCCUGAGGCUCAACCUCGGGCGUGCGAUGGAUACUGCCGGGCUAGAGGAUGGUAGAGGCGAGUGGAAUUCCCGGUGUAGUGGUGAAAUGCGCAGAUAUCAGGAGGAACACCGGUGGCGAAGGCGGUUCUCUGGGCAUGUCCUGACGCUGAGGAGCGAAAGUGUGGGGAGCGAACAGG
rnacentral:rRNA from 1 species